UACGGAGGGUGCAAGCGUUACUCGGAAUUACUGGGCGUAAAGCGCACGUAGGUGGUUUGCUAAGUCAGCUGUGAAAUCCCCGGGCUCAACCUGGGCACUGCAGUUGAAACUGGCAAGCUAGAGUAGGGUAGAGGGGUGUGGAAUUCCAGGUGUAGCGGUGAAAUGCGUAGAUAUCAGGUGGAACACCGGUGGCGAAGGCGGGUAACUGGCCAAACACUGACGCUCAAACCCGAAAGCGUGGGGAUCAAACAGG
rnacentral:rRNA from 1 species